rnacentral:rRNA from 1 species
UACGGGGGGUGCGAGCGUUGUCCGGAAUCACUGGGCUUAAAGGGCGCGUAGGCGGGCGGCCAAGUCAGGGGUGAAAGCCCCCAGCUCAACUGGGGAAGUGCCUCUGAUACUGGUCAUCUCGAGGGAGAUAGGGGCGUGCGGAACUUCCGGUGGAGCGGUGAAAUGCGUAGAUAUCGGAAGGAACACCGGUGGCGAAAGCGGCGCGCUGGAUCUCUUCUGACGCUGAGGCGCGAAAGCCAGGGGAGCGAACGGG